UUUAGUUCAGAUAUGGAUUUUGAAAGUCCUUUAAGGUAGACAAGCUUUACCAACUAAAUC
rnacentral:tRNA from 2 species